CUAAAAGCACGCCUCAUUGAUCUUACGACGCACCUAACUUGGAGGCACUAAUGUGCCGGAAUUUUCAAAAUUGAACAUAAAUUUUUGACGAAAUCCAGAGAAUUUAGAUUAGCAGAGUUGCGAAAAGUAUAAUUUUUGAGAUUGUUAAGUACAUAUAAGGUUAACGUUAAAGUUAAAGGUACCAAAGAGACUGCGUUUUCAGACCAGAAAUGACC
ensembl:ncRNA F38B6.20 ncRNA